rnacentral:sRNA from 1 species
AGUUGGAGAGGAGGACUUCAGGCGGGUGGGACAAGAGAAACUGAAUCUGAGAUCCUUGGGGAGAAGGAGGCCCUGGAGUCCUGGGCAGCAGAUGCCAGGCUCUGAGCCCCAUGACUGCUGACCCUCCUCCCCUCCUUCUCAUCCUCAGCCCAGAGUGAAAGUGUCCCCAGGCCAAAAGCCCAGGGCUCCAGGCUGCCAUCAGGAUGGUGGGUGAAGGACCCUACCUUAUCUCAGAUCUGGACCAGCGAGGCCGGCGGAGAUCCUUUGCAGAGAGAUAUGACCCCAGCCUGAAGACCAUGAUCCCAGUGCGACCCUGUGCAAGGUUAGCACCCAACCCGGUGGAUGAUGCGGGGCUACUCUCCUUUGCCACAUUUUCCUGGCUCACGCCAGUGAUGGUGAAAGGCUACCGGCAAAGGCUGACCGUAGACACCCUGCCCCCAUUGUCGACAUAUGACUCAUCUGACACCAAUGCCAAAAGAUUUCGAGUCCUUUGGGAUGAAGAGGUAGAAAGGGUGGGUCCUGAGAAGGCCUCUCUGAGCCGCGUGGUGUGGAAAUUCCAGAGGACACGCGUGUUGAUGGACAUCGUGGCCAACAUCCUGUGCAUCAUCAUGGCAGCCAUAGGGCCGACAGUUCUCAUUCACCAAAUCCUCCAGCAGACUGAGAGGACCUCUGGGAAAGUCUGGGUUGGCAUUGGACUGUGCAUAGCCCUUUUUGCCACCGAGUUCACCAAAGUCUUCUUUUGGGCCCUUGCCUGGGCCAUCAACUACCGCACGGCCAUCCGGUUGAAGGUGGCACUCUCCACCUUGGUUUUUGAAAACCUAGUGUCCUUCAAGACAUUGACCCACAUCUCUGUUGGCGAGGUGCUCAAUAUACUGUCAAGUGAUAGCUAUUCCUUGUUUGAAGCUGCCUUGUUUUGUCCUUUGCCAGCCACCAUCCCGAUCCUAAUGGUCUUUUGUGCGGCGUACGCCUUUUUCAUUCUGGGGCCCACAGCUCUCAUCGGGAUAUCAGUGUAUGUCAUAUUCAUACCAGUCCAGAUGUUUAUGGCCAAGCUCAAUUCAGCCUUCCGAAGGUCAGCAAUUUUGGUGACAGACAAGCGAGUUCAGACAAUGAAUGAGUUUCUGACCUGCAUCAAGCUGAUCAAAAUGUAUGCCUGGGAGAAAUCUUUUACCAACACUAUCCAAGAUAUAAGAAGGAGGGAAAGAAAAUUACUGGAAAAAGCUGGAUUUGUCCAAAGUGGAAACUCUGCCCUGGCCCCCAUCGUGUCCACCAUAGCCAUCGUGCUGACAUUCUCCUGCCACAUCCUCCUGAGACGCAAACUCACCGCACCCGUGGCAUUUAGCGUGAUUGCCAUGUUUAAUGUAAUGAAGUUUCCCAUUGCAAUCUUGCCCUUCUCCAUCAAAGCAAUGGCUGAAGUGAAUGUCUCUCUAAGGAGAAUGAAGAAAAUUCUCAUAGAUAAAAGCCCCCCAUCUUACAUCACCCAACCAGAAGAUCCAGAUACUGUCUUGCUUUUAGCAAAUGCCACCUUGACAUGGGAGCAUGAAGCCAGCAGGAAAAGUACCCCAAAGAAAUUGCAGAACCAGAAAAGGCAUCUAUGCAAGAAACAGAGGUCAGAGGCAUACAGUGAGAGGAGUCCACCAGCCAAGGGAGCCACUGGCCCAGAGGAGCAAAGUGACAGCCUCAAAUCGGUUCUGCACAGCAUAAGCUUUGUGGUGAGAAAGGGGAAGAUCUUGGGAAUAUGUGGGAAUGUGGGAAGUGGAAAGAGCUCCCUCCUUGCAGCUCUCCUAGGACAGAUGCAGCUGCAGAAAGGGGUGGUGGCAGUCAAUGGAACUUUGGCCUACGUUUCACAGCAGGCAUGGAUCUUUCAUGGAAAUGUGAGAGAAAACAUACUCUUUGGAGAAAAGUAUGAUCACCAAAGGUAAUAUUAACUUUUAAAGCAGGAGGCACAUUUGUGUUUGGUACACACUCUCCUACAGAUGCUGAUGCUGUUGGUAAUGACUGCUAAGUGGGUUCUGAGUUUAAUGAAUUCUGAUUAAACAUUCAUCAGAUCCACACAGACACUGGUUUUCCUCUUCCUGAGCCAAGCGUUCAGGAGAGGCAACUUCUGCAGACCUGCGACUGCACACUGGGAAGAGGAUAGAAUCGGCACUUCAUUCCCAGGGCAGAGGAGCAUAUGUUCCGAGGUUCUCUGCAACAGGGCAUAUGUGGUCUGACUAGAGAAAAGUGAAUCCAGCAAUUUUGCUUUAGGCUGAGUACCCAAAACUGCUCAGAAUCAUGAGCAAGUAUGUAAUGAAUCAGCCCUGACAUUAUUAAUUGACAUCAGAGCUAUCAGGAUAUAUUAUCACUGUUAGUGUCCUCAGAAUGGUCUAACUAAAUAAAAACAAAGCUCAACUU